UUUUGGACAAUGGGGGCAACCCUGAUCCGGCAAUGCCGCGUGAGUGAAGAAGGCCUUCGGGUUGUAAAGCUCUUUUGUCAGGGAAGAAACAGCAGCUCUAACACAGCUGUGAAUGACGGUACCUAAAGAAUAAGCACCGGCUAACUACGUGCCAGCAGCCGCGGUAAUACGUAGGGUGCAAGCGUUAAUCGGAAUUACUGGGCGUAAAGCGUGCGCAGGCGGUUAUACAAGACAGGCGUGAAAUCCCCGGGCUUAACCUGGGAAUUGCGUCUGUGACUGUAUGGCUAGAGUGUGUCAGAGGGGGGUAGAAUUCCACGUGUAGCAGUGAAAUGCGUAGAUAUGUGGAGGAAUACCAAUGGCGAAGGCAGCCCCCUGGGAUAACACUGACGCUCAUGCACGAA
rnacentral:rRNA from 1 species